rnacentral:lncRNA from 1 species
AGGUAAGGGCUCUGAACCUUCCUGCGUGCUACCCAAGGAGUGCCUAGGGCUACCAGGAGGCCCAGGGAGGAACCUUGAGACCUGAGAAAGGCUUUUCUUCCCCGAGAGGACCACUGCUCAGGCUCAGAGGCCAUGGGGUGAAGUGCACAAAAAAGUGGGCGUCCAGCCAUGCUCUAAGUCCCCCGAAGAUGAAGACCAGGGAGCAGCUUCCUCCAAUGAAGCAGCAGCAAUCAGAGGACCAGGAGGCUGAAGCCCUGAGCCCAGCCAGAGGCAGGAUCAGCCAAGUCUGGGACAGGCUUCAAUUAUUUUAGGCAGAGCUUCUGGUUCCUGGGCCUUCAGACUUGGACUAGAACUUCACUACCAGCUUUCCUGGGUCUCCAGCUUGCAGAGAGCAGAUCGCAGAACUUCUUAGCCUCCAUAAUCACAAGAACGUGUUUGCUUCCCCUUCCACCAUGAUUGUAAGUUUCCUGAGGCCUCCCCAGUCCUGCAGAACUGCUUUGAAGAAGACCACUGCGUCGGUAUUUGUGAAAUGUUUUGAGCCUCUGGAUUUAAAUAAGAUGGAAAACCAAAGCUCAGGGAGUUUUACAUGGGCAGGCAGCUGGUGAGGGCUGAGACUGGAGCCAGGCCAGUGGUCUUCAAAGGCUUUAGUCAAACUUUUUGACAGAUAUAAGAAAACCGAACUAAGGAAAAUACUUUCCUGGGAUCAUCCCUAUAUGAAGUGGCAGACCUGGAAUUGCUCCCUGUUUCAAAACAUCUCCCGCCCCCACCCAGGCCUGCUCAGAAGAACCCAAGCCACUCAGAAGCAGGAGGCAGCCUUCACCCCAACCAGACCAAUAUCCGUUCCAGACUCAGGAUUACAACAAUCUGGGAGAGGGUCAACCAAGUCAGAGUCCCACAUGGCAGAAGAGCUGCUUUAGCUUAAGACUCUUAACUCUUUUUCUUCGGGGCAGGAAAGGUUUGAGCCAAUGAAGGAUGAGGCUUUCCAGGCCCAGGACACAACCUUGAUCCAAGGCCUAGUUGUGGCUUUAAUUUUUGUAAAUCAAGCCUCAAGUUUUUCUUCACUCUUUUAGCCAAAGAUAUGUUUCCCAGGAUGCAUGAAAUAAAUAAAUAAAAUGUACCAAA